rnacentral:rRNA from 1 species
CGGAGGGUGCAAGCGUUAUCCGGAUUCACUGGGUUUAAAGGGUGUGUAGGCGGGCUGUUAAGUCAGUGGUGAAAUCUCCGGGCUCAACCCGGAAACUGCCAUUGAUACUAAUAGUCUUGAAUUCUGUUGAGGUGGGCGGAAUAUGUCAUGUAGCGGUGAAAUGCUUAGAUAUGACAUAGAACACCGAUUGCGAAGGCAGCUCACUGAGCAGAUAUUGACGCUGAGGCACGAAAGCGUGGGGAUCGAACAGGAUUAGAUACCCUGGUAGUCCACGCCGUAAACGAUGCUAACUCGUUUUUGGGCUUUCGGGUUCAGAGACUAAGCGAAAGUGAUAAGUUAGCCACCUGGGGAGUACGUUCGCAAGAAUG